CAUUAUUGUGCAUUAUAAUUCAGAUUUCAUCCGGAUCGAGAGACAGCCAUGGCCGCGGAAGACCGAAAACUCGCCAACAGCGCGACCUUCAUCGAUUUCCAGACCGAGCCGUCGAAGUACCGGCACUGGAAACUCGAUGUGGCGGGCGAUGUCGCCACCCUGACCAUGGAUGUCGACGAGAACGGCGGCCUGUUCGAGGGCUACCUGCUCAAGCUGAAUUCCUAC
rnacentral:misc_RNA from 1 species